AAAAAGAUAAGCUAAACGUGCAAGCUAAUGGGCUCAUACCCCAUCUAUGAAUUUAUUUCUCUUUUUA
rnacentral:tRNA from 1 species